GGGCUAGUAGCUCAGCUGGCUAGAGCGCACCCCUGAUAAGGGUGAGGUCGGAGGUUCGAGUCCUCUCUGGCCCA
rnacentral:tRNA from 2 species